UACGUAGGGGGCAAGCGUUGUCCGGAAUCAUUGGGCGUAAAGAGCGUGUAGGCGGCCUGGUAAGUCCGCUGUGAAAGUCCAGGGCUCAACCCUGGAAUGCCGGUGGAAACUGUCAGGCUCGAGUCCGGAAGAGGCGAGUGGAAUUCCUGGUGUAGCGGUGAAAUGCGCAGAUAUCAGGAGGAACACCAAUGGCGAAGGCAGGUCUCUGGGCAUUAACUGACGCUGAGGAGCGAAAGCAUGGGGAGCGAACAGGA
rnacentral:rRNA from 1 species